CGAGAUCAAAACAAAUAGUAAUAUACCUUGCCACACAGGCAAGUCAAAUAAUGCCACAAAGGCAAUCAAAAUAAUGCCACACAAACAAUCACAUAUCAGACUGCACAAUCCAGAUGCAUGCAAAAUUGGAAGGCGUGUUUGGCACAAACAUCACCACUCUGCAGAACAGAACAGAACAGAAAAUAGGGUCGACCCAUACGCCUCCCAUAACAAAACACCAAAUGGCCAACUCCCACCGGAGCACAAAACGGAGACGUCGUGGACUGAUCACACCACCAUGAAAGAUGUCAUGCCUCGGUGCCAAGAGGGAAUGCCUGUGGUACCCCCACAUGUGGUUAUAGCUCAGGUAUACCCUACGACAUUCUAACAACAACAUCAUGCCACAACACAUGCGACAUAAUAUUAACACAAAGGGUUCUAAUAUGUGCAUGUUAUACUGAAAUGAAUCAUCAACUCAAAGUCUCCAAACAUAUACUAACAUGCACAUUACUACAAAUAUCAAAAUACAUUUAGACAUGUUGUACUAGUCUAAAGAGUACAAAUAUGAGUUUCAACUAUGAACGCCAAACGAAACUAUCAC
rnacentral:lncRNA from 1 species